UCUGCUGUGACCACACCCUCCAUCUGCCCCAGCUGUACAGAUGUUACAUUUUAUAGAUUGUGAUAAAAGUAACAUCAUGUGCAACAGAGGCAUUUGGAGAUUAAUCUUCCAGACAAAU
rnacentral:precursor_RNA from 12 species